GAAAGCCCCGACGGCGCGGGAUGGGGUCGCGGCCCAUUAGGUAGUAGGCGGGGUAGAGGCCCACCUAGCCGACGAUGGGUAGCCGGACUGAGAGGUCGAUCGGCCACAUUGGGACUGGGAUACGGCCCAGACUCCUACGGGAGGCAGCAGUGGGGAAUUUUGCGCAAUGGGGGAAACCCUGACGCAGCAACGCCGCGUGCGGGACGAAGGCCCUCGGGUCGUAAACCGCUUUCAGCAGGGAAGACCUUACGACGGUACCUGCAGAAGAAGCUCCGGCUAACUACGUGCCAGCAGCCGCGGUAAUACGUAGGGGGCGAGCGUUAUCCGGAUUCAUUGGGCGUAAAGCGCGCGUAGGCGGCCGCCUAAGCGGAACCUCUAACCCCGGGGCUCAACCUCGGGCCGGGUUCCGGACUGGGCGGCUCGAGUGCGGUAGAGGAGAGCGGAAUUCCCGGUGUAGCGGUGGAAUGCGCAGAUAUCGGGAAGAACACCGAUGGCGAAGGCAACUCUCUGGGCCGUCACUGACGCUGAGGCGCGAAAGCUGGGGGAGCGAACAGGAUUAGAUACCCUGGUAGUCCCAGCCGUAAACGAUGGGCGCUAGGUGUGGGGGGAUCCCCCCUCC
rnacentral:rRNA from 1 species